CAAAGGUGUCGGUCGCUCUCCCCUUCGGGGGAGGCGGCUUAAGGGACGUGCCAUCCGCCUCGAAAGAGGAUUUCCUAUCUCCAGCGCCCGUCACGCUAAGGAUAGGAAGCUGCCGGCUUGCACCGGCAGUGGGAGAUCAAUACGGCCAGCAGCCGCGGUAAUUCCAGCUCCAAUAGCGUAUAUUAAAGUUGUUGUGGUUAAAAAGCUCGUAGUUGAACCUGGGCCUCGCGCAGACCGGUCCGCCUCACCGCGUGCACUGGUCCUGCCGGGGCUUUCACUAGGGGAUUCGCAUGUCCUUCACUGGGCGUGUGCGGAACCUGGACUUUUACUGUGAAAAAAUUAGAGUGUUCAAAGCAGGCCUAUGCUCGAAUACAUUAGCAUGGAAUAAUAGAAUAGGACGUGUGGUUCUAUUUUGUUGGUUAUGGGACCGCCGUAAUGAUUAAUAGGGACAGUCGGGGGCAUCAGUAUUCAAUAGUCAGAGGUGAAAUUCUUGGAUUUAUUGAAGACUAACUACUGCGAAAGCAUUUGCCAAGGAUGUUUUCAUUAAUCAGGAACGAAAGUUAGGGGAUCGAAGACGAUCAGAUACCGUCGUAGUCUUAACCAUAAACUAUGCCGACUAGGGAUCGGGCGAUGUUACUUUUUGACUCGCUCGGCACCUUACGAGAAAUCAAAGUCUGUGGGUUCCUGGGGGAGUAUGGUGGCAACGCUGAAACUAAAGAAA
rnacentral:rRNA from 1 species